UACUCAAUUUUCCUUCUUUUUAAACUUCUUCGUCAUCUGCUUCCGGUGGUGCGAAAAUGGAGAAAAGUGGAAGGAAGUUAUGUUUUCAACACUGAGAUAGCCCGUUUCCAUUGUUUUUCUGUGUAUUUUGAUGUUAUAGGGUGCAGAUUGCAGUGUACAAUUGAUAAAAUCAGCUAUGUUUACCAAUUCUUCAAAGCCGAAACAUGGAUGGAAUAUCAAGAAGGGUGACUUAAGAUACAAGAAUUCUUUAUGUAAGUGUGGAAGAUAUGCUGCUAUAAAAGUCAUCGGAUCUACAAAAGAAACCGAAGGUAAAUUAUUUUGCAAUUGUAAAAUUGGCCAGUGCGAUUUUUUUGCCGGUUAGAACCUUUGAAUCCUCUGUCAAGGAGUACUGAAAGCCCGCCGAAGGCAGCUGAUUACGAUCAAGACGAAGUCGUUUCAAGAAUGAAUAAGGGUGAUUUAGAAGAUGAUGAAUCUGAAAAUGUUGCACGGUUGCUCAAAAUUUGUAAAAAAACAAAUGCAAAGGUGGAUAAAAUUGAAAAAAGAGGAAUGUAUAUAUAUGUAAGCAUGAGUUUGAAUUGAUGAUCAUGUAAUUGUAUUGGAUUUUCUAUAAUUGUUUAUAUUUGACAUGCAUUUAUUAUAAUUAUUUUUGCAUGUAA